CUCAAGAGCUUGCGGUGAUCAAAGAGAAUAUUUGUGAGGAUUCUGUGUUUAUUAGCACUAUAGAUGGUACUUUUUACGCUGUAGAAUUGCGUUCGGGUAAUAUGCUUUGGUCUUUUUCGCUGAAAAAGCCUUUGCUAGUGACCGUAAGUCAAGCCAGCGAUAUCAACUUCAUACCAGAUCCUUCCGAUGGCAGUUUGUAUUAUUCUGAAUAUGGACGUUUAAAAAAAAUGCCUCUGAACAUUCCCGAAUUAGUUUCCUCAGCUCCUUUUAGAGCAGAAGAUGGCAC